UACGGAAGGUGCGAGCGUUAUUCGGAAUUAUUGGGCUUAAAGGGUGCGUAGGCGGCGCUGUAGGUGGGGUGUGAAAUCCCUCGGCUCAACCGAGGAAUUGCGCCCCAAACCACAGUGCUAGAGGGAGACAGAGGUAAGCGGAACUGAUGGUGGAGCGGUGAAAUGCGUUGAUAUCAUCAGGAACACCGGUGGCGAAAGCGGCUUACUGGGUCUCUUCUGACGCUGAGGCACGAAAGCUAGGGUAGCGAACGGG
rnacentral:misc_RNA from 1 species